AUGGGCGUGAGCAUCCCAGCCAGCGAGCCGAAGCACCGGCGGCACCAUCAAGAAGGGUGCGAGGCCGACGACGGCGGCGAGGAGUCGCCGGCGCUCGCCGCGCUGUACCUGUACGGGGACGUGCUCGAGUCGGUGGUGGAGCGCGUGCCGGCGCCCGACCUCGCCGCCGCGGCGGGGGUCUCGCGCGAGUGGCUCCGCGCGGUGCGGUCCGCGCUGCGCCGGCGCCCGCGGCGGCUGCCCUGGCUCGUGGUCCACCUCCACGGCCGCCGCCGCCGGACCGCGGCCUACGACCCGCACUCCGGCGCGUGGCUCACCGUGCAGGCCCCGCGCCACGCCACGCCGUCGCACGUGCGCCUCCUGCGCGGCGCGCGCGGCGACCGGGUGUGCGCGCUCUCCUGCUCCGGCCUCGACGUCGCCGGCGACCCUCUUGGGACGUCCGCGUGCGUCGCCAUGAAGGCCCCCGGCGUGUGGCGCGUCGACCCGGUGCUGGCAGCGGUGGGCGACCGCGUGGUCGCCCUCGGCGGCGCGUGCCAGCUUGCGCUCGCCGAGGGAGAGGACGCCGCCGCGGUGGAGGUCCACGAGCGCGGGAAUUGGGCGGCCUGCGAUCCGAUGCCGGCGGCGCUCCGCGAGUCGGCGGCAGCAACGUGGCUUUCGGUGGCCGCGACGGAUCACAGAGUGUACCUCGCGGACAGAACCACCGGGUGUGCGAGCUGGUUCGAUCCGUCGAUGCGGCGGUGGGGUCCAACCCGUCGCCUCAAACCAGACGCCGGCGUUUCCACGUGGGGCGUCGCGCCUGGUCGCGCCGGCGCCGAGCAGCUCGUCCUUUUCGGAGCGAAGCGCGAAGGCGAGGGGGCAAAGAACAAAGUCGUCAUCCAAGCAUGGGAGGUGGACGGCGACACUCUGGAUCUGCCUCCCGGCGCGGGCCACGACGCAAUGCCGAGCGAGAUGUCGGCGAGGCUUUUCCCCCACGACGAGGACGAGGAGGACGACGGGGAGACGCUCCCGUCGAUCGCGGUGUGCGGCAACGCCACCGGAGGGUACGUGUACAAUUCGGCCGAGCCAGCCAACGGCGCCGUGCUCUACGAGCUGCAGGAGGGGAAGACGGGGGGCGCCGUGGAGCGGUGGGAGUGGGUGCCGUGCGCGCCCUCGGUCCGCGCCGAGCCGCUGGGCCGCGUCAUCCUCGCGUGCUCGCCGGUGGGGUUGGACGAGCUCGAGCUGUCGCGUGGACUAUCACCUCUGGGCCCACAACGUGCAUGUGCGGAUGUACAGUGA
rnacentral:rRNA from 1 species